UAUAGUCCCAAAUAGUAGCCGGAUCAAGCGUUGGAUUGGUGACUACUCGCACCGAAUCUGAGUAGGCGUCGUAAAGCCCGCCGAAAUACUGCGCUUUGACAACAAGCAAUAAAGCACCUAGUCCUAGGAAGAUCAGGUGAUGGCCCAAGAUAAAGCCUAACUUGCUGGCGUCUUGCCA
rnacentral:antisense_RNA from 1 species